GAUGAAGAACGUAGCGAAAUGCGAUAAGUAAUGUGAAUUGCAGAAUUCAGUGAAUCAUCGAAUCUUUGAACGCACAUUGCGCCCCUUGGUAUUCCGAGGGGUAUGCCUGUUCGAGCGUCAUUAUAACCCCUCAAGCUCAGCUUGGUGUUGGGGCCUGCUGCACUGGCAGCCCUUAAAAUCAGUGGCGGCGCCAUCUGGCUCUAAGCGUAGUAAUUCUUCUCGCUAUGGAGUCCUGGUGGAUGCUUGCCAUCAACCCCCAAUUUUUCUAUGGUUGACCUCGGAUCAGGUAGGGAUACCCGCUGAACUUAAGCAUAUCAAUAAGCGGAGGA
rnacentral:misc_RNA from 1 species